GAAGAGACUUGGCAGUUUAUUCGACAACCUUUCCCUGGGCCUGUCUGAGCAACAAAGGCUCUUUGUCCCGGCCAAAGUAAUCCUUCCAGCCCUAAAACUCACAGUAGCUCCCACAGAGAAAACAUCUCAAAAAUGUGUAUCCCGGGACCAAAUAUUUGAGAUUGGUCGAGCGCCUGCUGCUCACCAUCUCCAACCCGCGACCCCAGCUAGAGUUUAUUCUGAGCCAGAGAGGGGUUGAAGAGGGAACUGAUGCCAUCUCCUAAGCUCUGAUCUUCUACCCCGCCACAGUGACGCACCUACCGUCUGCAUCCUUCAAAUCUUUAAACCCAGAGGGAGGGACCAGAACUUCGCUUGAGAGGACCAGGCUGAGCUUGACCGCUGAAUCGGCCUCCUCGCUGACUUCCUGGCUUCCAGCCUCUCCCUUCUCCAGGUCUGGCCCAGGAGGGAAUCAUGGGAUGAGGCGUCUGCCUGUUUGCACUGCCCGCUUCCUCUCUGCCUCCCGGAGAUGUCUCCUUACCAGGCUGUGUCGCUGAGCACCGCCAUGACUUCGUCCGCGAUGGCCGCAUCCACGACGUCACUGUAGGACUGGCCUUUCUCUCCUGGAUUCCCAUCUCUACCUGCGUGAGCCUGCCGAAUGGGCUUCCUCUGGACACUGGAACGAAAGAAGCUGAGACCACGCUCGGGAACCUCUGCUGUUACCUGAGACUUUUCUCCAAGUUUCUCCACCCCUACUACAGGUCCAUCUAUAAUUUCUUUUCCUGUCUCCUGCUCUACUCUGAAAGCUCCUGGUGGGUGGGAAGCCAGUCUGCCAACUCUAUUACAGUGUACCCUCCCAAGU